UCCGUAGGUGAACCUGCGGAGGGAUCAUUACACAAAUAUGAAGGCGGGCUGGAAUCUCUCGGGGUUACAGCCUUGCUGAAUUAUUCACCCUUGUCUUUUGCGUACUUCUUGUUUCCUUGGUGGGUUCGCCCACCACUAGGACAAACAUAAACCUUUUGUAAUUGCAAUCAGCGUCAGUAACAAAUUAAUAAUUACAACUUUCAACAACGGAUCUCUUGGUUCUGGCAUCGAUGAAGAACGCAGCGAAAUGCGAUAAGUAGUGUGAAUUGCAGAAUUCAGUGAAUCAUCGAAUCUUUGAACGCACAUUGCGCCCUUUGGUAUUCCAAAGGGCAUGCCUGUUCGAGCGUCAUUUGUACCCUCAAGCUUUGCUUGGUGUUGGGCGUCUUGUCUCUAGCUUUGCUGGAGACUCGCCUUAAAGUAAUUGGCAGCCGGCCUACUGGUUUCGGAGCGCAGCACAAGUCGCACUCUCUAUCAGCAAAGGUCUAGCAUCCAUUAAGCCUUUUUUCAACUUUUGACCUCGGAUCAGGUAGGGAUACCCGCUGAACUUAAGCAUAUCAAUAAGCGGAGGAAAA
rnacentral:rRNA from 1 species